CCUACGGGUGGCUGCAGUGGGGAAUAUUGGACAAUGGGGGCAACCCUGAUCCAGCAAUGCCGCGUGUGUGAAGAAGGCCUGCGGGUUGUAAAGCACUUUCAGUAGGGAAGAAAAGCUCGGGGCUAAUACCUCCGGGUCUUGACGUUACCUAAAGAAGAAGCACCGGCUAACUCCGUGCCAGCAGCCGCGGUAAUACGGACGGUGCGAGCGGGCGUCAGGCUUACUGGGCGUAUAGCGCACGUCGGAUGUUAAAGCCCUGGGCUUAACCUGGGAACUGCAUUCGAUACUGCCAGGCUAGAGUAUGGGAGAGGGAAGCGGAAUUUCAGGUGUAGCGGUGAAAUGCGUAGAUAUCGGAAGGAACACCAAUGGCGAAGGCAGCUUCCUGGCCCAAUACUGACGCUGAGGUGCGAAAGCGUGGGGAUCAAACAGGAUUAGAUACCCCAGUAGUC
rnacentral:rRNA from 1 species